rnacentral:rRNA from 1 species
AUUGAACGCUGGCGGCAUGCUUUACACAUGCAAGUCGAGCGGCAGCGCGGGGGGCAACCCUGGCGGCGAGCGGCGAACGGGUGAGGAAUACAUCGGAACGUACCCCGGAGUGGGGGAUAACGCCGCGAAAGCGGCGCUAAUACCGCAUAUGCUCUGAGGAGGAAAGUGGGGGACCUGCAAGGGCCACACGCUCUGGGAGCGGCCGAUGUCCGAUUAGCUAGUUGGUGGGGUAAAGGCCCACCAAGGCGACGAUCGGUAGCUGGUCUGAGAGGAUGAUCAGCCACACUGGGACUGAGACACGGCCCAGACUCCUACGGGAGGCAGCAGUGGGGAAUUUUGGACAAUGGGCGCAAGCCUGAUCCAGCAAUGCCGCGUGAGUGAAGAAGGCC